rnacentral:rRNA from 1 species
UACGUAGGUGGCAAGCGUUGUCCGGAUUUACUGGGCGUAAAGGAUGCGUAGGCGGACAUUUAAGUCAGAUGUGAAAUACCCGAGCUUAACUUGGGUGCUGCAUUUGAAACUGGGUGUCUAGAGUGCAGGAGAGGUAAGUGGAAUUCCUAGUGUAGCGGUGAAAUGCGUAGAGAUCGGGAAGAAUACCCGUGGCGAAGGCGGCCAGCUGGGCCAGGUCCGACACUGAGGCGCGAAAGCGUGGGGAGCAAACAGG